rnacentral:lncRNA from 1 species
UGAAGUCUCACUUAGAGUUAUGUUGUGGGUUGUUUUGGAAGAGUGCGAAAGGUGCGAGCUUCUUUCCUAGUUGUGAGGGUGGUAGGGUAGAGGGGGCUUUGGUCCAUGAUAUGGUUUGAGGAGAGAUAUGUUAAAUACUGGGUGAACCUUAGAAUUUGGUGGGAGAGCUAGUUCAUAAGCCACUUCAGUAAUGCUUUUGGUAAUAAGGUAUGGGCCAUAGAAUUUUCGGGUAAGCUAGUGGUGAGGGGAGCCGAUGAGGGAUGUUUGGCGGUAAGCCUGUCGACGGAGGAGUACCCAAUUGCUGAUUGUGAAGACGUGAUGACGUCGUCCGGUGUUCGCUGUCUUGGCCAUGCGUUGUUGUGACAACGCCAAAUUAGUCUUCAACUGGCGCAAAAUUUGUGUUCGCUUUUGGAGGGUGGUGUCCAGAUUGGGUUCCGAUGCAGUGUCGGAUACAUAAUCUAGGAUGGAUGGUGGUGGUCUUUCAUAGAGCGCUUGGAACGGGGUUGUUUUGAUGGCCGAAUGGUAAGAAGAAUUGUACCAAAACUUGGCGGGGUGCAAGUAUUUGUACCAACAUCGCAGAUUGUCAUUGGUGAAACAAUGAAGGUAUAUCUCCAAACAUCUAUUAAUAACCUCGGUUUGACCUUCGGUUUGAGGGUGAUAAGUCGUACUAAACUUCAGUUUUGUUCCUUGUAGGUGAAAAAGCUCCUCCAAGAAGUUACUGAGGAAGAGCGGGUCUCGAUCUGAGAUUAUGGAUUUUGGAAUGCCAUGCAAUCUGCAGAGCUCCACAGGGAAACGGUUGGCUAGUUGGGAGGUGGUGAAGGAUGUGGAGAGGGCUAUGAAAUGAGCAGAUUUUGAAAGUCGGUCAUAGACCACCCAAAUAAUUGUAUGGUCGAAAGAUGAUGGUAAGUGAGUGAUAAAAUCAGUUGUUAGUUCAUCCCAGAUUUUGGUUGAGAGGAGGGGGGGGGGUUGGGUUGUAAUAAUUCUAAGGGUUUUUUGUUAAUGGGUUUAUUCUGUUGGGAGGGAAGGCACUCUAUGAUGAAAGUUUUUGUGUCCUUGUACAUACUUGGCCAAUAGAAAGAGGCAGCUAAAUGAGCUAGAUUGGCUUUGAGACUGAAAUACCCUACGAAUGGGGUUGCAUGAAACUCGUGAAGAAUGGGUGGGCGAAGAUUGGUUGUUGAUGGAACGUAGAGUCUCUGGCCGUGGUACAGUAAGUCAUUGUGAAAAUUGAAAUUUGAGUUGGAAAUACCUAUCAAUUUGUUUUUUUCUUGUUGUCCAGUUGUUGUCUGAUAAUACUUUUUUAAUUUUGUGAUGAUCUCUGGUACUGGGGUGGAGAUGGCUAAGAAAAAUGAGGACGGUGGCUUGGAGAGGAAAUCAGCAGCUUGGUUGUGACGUCCAUGCUAAUAAAGGAUAUCAAAACUAUACCCAAUAAGUCGUGAAGCUCAUUUUUGUUGCUUCGACGUAUGCCAAACGCUGAUAAGUAAUCCCCUUAAACUUUGUUGGUAUGUGAUAAUUUGAAAGUGAUUGCCAAUGAGAUAGUGUCUCCAUUUCUUAACAGAUUCAUUAAUGUCUAGCAUCUCUUUAACAUAAACUGAACUGCUUUGUUUCCUGGACAGAGCUUCUUAUUGAAGAAGGCAAUAGGGUGCCUUGCUUGAUAUAAAACGAAGCAUCCGUUUCCACUACAAAAGGGAUGGUGAAAUCAGGGAGGUGCAAGAUAGAGGGUGUAGUUAGGAUAUUUUUGAUCUGUAAGAAGGAUGUGUUGGCAUUGUGAUUCCAUGUAAAAACUUUCAAUUUUAGUAAAUUCGUGAGUGGAGAGGCAAGAGUGGCAUAACCGCGGAUGAACUUCCGGUAAAACCCCAUAAUGCCCAAAAACGCACGCACCGUAGUGAAUGAUUUGGGCUCGAGCUACUGUAGAAUAGCUUGAAUCUUUUCUGGAUCCGGGGAAACCGUUCCCCGUUGAAUGAUAUGCCCAAUUAGGUAAUUGUAGGGGCUGAAAAAUUUAACUUUGAUUCUUUAAUAAAAAACUUAUGAGUCUGAAGUAAUUGGAGAACAAUGUUGAGAUGUUGAAUGUGGUCUGUCAUGGAUGUAUUGUAGAUUAAGAUGUCAUUAAAGAAAACUAGUACAAAACGUCUUAGGUAUGGUUGAAGGAGGUCAUUCUUGCAGCUUGAAAGGUAGACGGAGCAUUAGAUAAGCCAAAUGGCAUAACUAAAAACUCAUAAUGACCAUCAAAGGUCCGAAAAGUUGUCUUGUGGAAAUCUGUGGGGUGUACACGUAUUUGGUGAUAGCCAGAUCUUAGGUCAAUCUUAGAGUUAAUUCAUCUAAGAGUUCCUCAAUCGUGGGGACAAGAAAUCUAUCCUUCAUCGUGAUAACAUUUAAGGCCCUGUAAUCCACAUAAAAUCUCUAUGAUUCAUCUCUCCUUUUUUUUAUGAGUAUGAUUGCGGAGGAAAAGGGGCUAGUACUUGGGCGUAUGAUGCCCACAUACAACAUUUCUUGAAUGAGAGAAGUCAUAAUGUGUUUAUGGGUGUGGGGAUAGUGGUAAGGUUUGAUAUUUAUGUGGGUGGAGUUUGGGAUCAAAGGAAUGUGAUGGUUCUGGGGGCAAUGGGGAGGUAAACCGUGAGGAGGUGAGAAAAAUGAAUGGUAUGUGUGGAGUAGGUUUUGAAUCUCGGGGUGUAUAUCUGGUGGGGAAGGGUUGGAGCAUGGUAAGGGAUCCGGUUGAAAGGUGAGCAAAUGAAGUGAUGUUAUGGCUUUGGUAUGUAGGAGGUGACAAAUAUUGGUGACGAAAGCGUGUGUGUCCAAGAGUUUGUUGGUUCCAACUAGGGUUAUGAGGGUGCUCUAAUGAUGGAAAAAAGAGUUGUGGUGUAGAGAAAUCUACUUGUAGGGGUCCGAGGUAGCGCAACCAGUCCAUUCUUAGGACUACAUCUGCAUCUUCAAUUGGAAUGAAGUAAAGUGAGAUGGAAAAACAAUGGUUUUGUAUAGAAACAGUAAUUGUAGGCUUGGGAUGCAUGCAAUGAAUUUUCUUGCCGUUUCCAACCAUGAUGGAAAAUGGUUUAAUUGGAAGGGUGCAAAGGUUGAGGUGAUGAGCUAGGCGAGGUUGGAGGAUAUUAUGUGAGCUCCCUGUGUCUAUUAAAAUGGUAACGAGUGUAUGCUGAAUAAACCCCUGAAGUUUGAAGGUGUGGGCCGAGGGGGUUCCAAAUAAGGUAUGGAGAGAUAGGUGUACUGGAUUAGGUUCCUCAGUGUCAAAGAUAGUAUCUAAGGUAGAGAAGGUUUCUGGGUGGGCUUCUGGUGUAGGUUCUUCAUUGAGUAGCAAUAAGAAACGUUUGUUGAGACAUUUGUGACUAGGAAAAAAAAAUCGUCACAAUUGUAACAUAAGUCGAUUGCUCGAUGUUCUUGUAACUGGGUGGAUGAAAGUUUUGUUAUAGGUAGAUAAGUGGGUGUGGUGGUUGUUGUCUGAGGUUGGAAAGGAGGACGUGGUGGUGGUAAUAGAUGUGGGGAUGUUUGUGGAAUUAUAGGGUUGCAGUUAUACUUCCUUAAAUCAUGGAUUUUAGAUUCCAAGAGUUUCGCAAGGCCCAUGGCUUGGGUGAUUGAGGUAGGUUGAAGAAUAAUUAUCUCUCUUUUUAUUUUUGGGACCAAACCAGAAAUGAAACAAUUGAGGAUCAUCUUGGGUGUGAGGCCCAAGACUCGAUUGCAUAGUUUUCAAAAGAUUUUUUUGUACUUAGUGACUGUGCUAUUCUGGCAGAGUUUGAACAAUUAUGCUUGAUGGUUGGCGUAAGUUGAGGGACCAAAUCAAAGCUCUAAGGCACGACUGAAUGAGAGUCAGUCACUUAGUUGAUGAUUUUGGUACAUCCAUUUAAAUCAACUAAGAGCAUCUUCGUGCAUAUAGAAAGUUGUCAUGUGUAAGCGAGACUCCCAAGUAAUAUUGUAAAAUUGGAAAAACUGGUCGUCCUGAAAAAGCCAAUCGAGCGGAUCAGACCCAUCAAAGAAAGAUAAUUGGAUUUUUGGGGGACGGGGUAGGGUAGGAACCAUCGGAGGUGGAGCAGUGAGGGGGGGACAACAAAUAUUGUUGUGGUAAAGAUGGAUGAGGCAGUAUGAGAAUUUAGGGGUGAGGGUGAGACAGGGGGUAUGUUUGGAACAGAGAAUGGGGUAGAAGAGCUAUUUGUUUCAUUUGGGAAAACUAACGUGGGUGAUAUAGAUGUUAAGAUGUUAUGGAGGGUGUGAGUGACGACCUCUUGUUUGGAGUCCAAUCUUUUUAACGAGAUUCUAGAGUGUGGUGUAAGGUAUUAUAACGGGUUUCGUGAUGGUCAUGGGUUUGUUGGAUUUGGGUUUCGAGGUGGGUUAGUUUGUCUAAAAUGGUUUGGAGGAUUUCUUCUAAAUCUUAUUUUGAUUUGGGAGGCAUGAAGAUAGGUUCCUCGUUAUGGAUCUAGUUCAGUGGAUUCUGAGACUAAACUAGCAGAUCGAUAUGGUACCUGCGAAGAUGUUUUUUGGCACUGGAAAUUUUCCGGUCACACUGCACAUUGUUGGGCUUGCCUGAAGCACAGUGAGAAACUGUGGUAUUGAGCUGGGUUGGACUGGUCAGAUGUGGAAAUAAUAUUGCGCUUUGGACUAGCGAGUGUUGGGCCGGGGCGGGUCUCCUUAUUGUGUGAAUGGUUGCACUUUGGCACAAUAGGUUUAGCAUAUCUUUUCCUCUAUGAACGAGAAUCGUGUAUCUUUUCCUCCAUUUGCCUAAUUACUACCGAUUAAUUAUAUCAGAGUUUAUUAUUAACAAAAUUGUUUGUAUUGGAGGUUACUGGUUCAUUCGCCCUAGUUGAUGAAAU